GCAUUGGUGGUUCAGUGGUAGAAUUCUCACCUUCCACGUGGGAGACCCAGGUUCGAUUCCUGGCCAGUGCA
rnacentral:tRNA from 1 species